GAGGGUAUAGCUCAGUGGUAAAGUGCGUGCUUAGCAUGCACAAAGUCCUGGGUUCAAUCCCCAGCACCUCCA
rnacentral:tRNA from 1 species